GAUGAACGCUGACAGAAUGCUUAACACAUGCAAGUCGAUUCGAUUUACCUUCGGGUAUUGAGGAUGGCGGACGGGUGAGUAACGCGUAAGGAACUUGCCUCUUGGUCUGGGACAACUGUUGGAAACGACAGCUGAUACCGGAUAUUAUGAGAUUCUCGCAUGGGAAACUUAUGAAAGCUAUAUGCGCCAAGAGGGAGCCUUGCGUUCCAUUAGCUAGUUGGUGGGGUAACGGCCCACCAAGGCGACGAUGGAUAGCCGGCCUGAGAGGGUGAACGGCCACAAGGGGACUGAGACACGGCCCUUACUCCUACGGGAGGCAGCAGUGGGGAAUAUUGGACAAUGGGCCACAAGCCUGAUCCAGCAUUUCUGUGUGCACGAUGAAGGUCUUCGGAUUGUAAAGUGCUUUCAGUUGGGAAGAAGAAAGUGACGGUACCAACAGAAGAAGCGACGGCUAAAUACGUGCCAGCAGCCGCGGUAAAAC
rnacentral:rRNA from 1 species